AAGGCGAAGAGCCGGCGAAGGGCUGCGGCUCAGACAGCCCGAUUCAUCGCGAGCGGGCCCCGCCCCAGGCCCGCCCGCCGCGGGCCGCACACCCGGGCUGCCUCCUCCUGCGGACUGUCACGGCCUUUACCCGCAAGAGCAAACAAGAACCCUCGCCUCGCAGGCCUUUCCCAGCCCCCACGGGCGGCACGGCCCAGAAGGAAGCCAACACGGACCCGCGACGCCCCGGUCUGGCUCCCUCCGGUCGCCGAAUAGGGGCGGGGGCCCCGGGCCGCCUCCCCCACUCACUCCCCAAAGCCCGUCUCCCAGGCCCCCGGCCGGGGCUCUCCGGUACGUCGGGGCCGGCAGGGGAGGUGUCAGCGGUUCCGUCCUGGGGCCGCCUACGGGCCCCGGUCCAAGUACCUUCGAACAGGCCGAGCACCGGCGGCGGCGGCUGCAGCUCCAGGCUGAGGGAAGGAGAGGGGCGGGCCACCGAGACAGGCGGAGCCCCAGUUGUGCCAGAGCGGCCUCACGCCGCGUCGGUCGGCGCGCCCUCUGGAGGCGGGAGGCCCCCUCAGCGGCUCGGCCUGCCCUGAGCUAGAAACUCGGAAAAAACCCUCUCUCCAUUAACUGCGCCUGGAGAGGAGAAUGACAACCUCAGAAGAGGCUUUUCAGACCCGAGUCCAGGAGCAUUUCGCACUUUUCACGUCUUUUUCUAAAUAUACAUCCCACCUCCAGCUAAGUGAAGGCUUCAAAGCAAGGACAGUUUUAUUAAAAGCUGUAGGCAUCAACUAAUACUCACUGGCUUCUGGCUUUCGCCAGGGUCCUGCCUGAUGUUGUGCGAGAGGCGCGCUCAGAAAAAGCAGUUCUCACUUUAACACGUGGUCAAAGAAGAAAGAUCACUCAGUGACAACCUGGCACUUUCCAGAUCCUUUUUUGAAGGGGGGCCAAGUCCCUUCAAGGACCACAUGAAGCACUCUCUGAUAAGGUGAAAUGUGCUGAGACAUGAGCAGUGAGGGAUAGCCGACUGUUCAUACGAGCUAUCAGCAGAGGAAACACCGUCCAUUUCUCUCUGGUUUACAACUCCUCGUUGAAGACAGAUACGAUGCCUACGGUGAUGCUGGAGGUUCCUACUUCUCAUCACCAGGCCAGAAAGACUAUUUCCCACCAGAACAAUAUCAGAAUUAGGUGAUGCAUCCUCCACCAAGGACGGGAUAUCAAACAGACCAGAUGCAACCAAUAAUGCACUAUAAUAGCAAGGGUGCGACGGCGAUGAGCCUCGGUAAACGUGUAAAAUGGUAAAGUAUGGUCCCAUUCACACAACAUGAUUUUAAUUACACUCAGCAUGAUUAUACAUGGGUCCAAGUAUGACGAGAAAUGAACUCAAAACUAGCCAUGAAACUACAAUGGUGACCAUUGCACAUCCAAUAUGUGAUGUUUUGGUUUGGCUCCUUAGAAUUUCGGAGAGCUUUGAGAAGAUGAUUUAUUGGAUUGCCUUGGCCUGUUAAAAAGUCACAUAAGGAGAAAUGGGCAGAUAGGCUGUGACUCCUUAUCUGACAUGCUGGCUGCUGGGCUCCCUGUGACUGCUCGGUCACCCACCCAGGUGCUUUGCCCUGUGCUGAAAAAGCCAAGGUCCCUGCAUGGGGCUGGUGGUCUAGUGGGGGAGAUAUAGACACAAGUGAUGCUCUAGCUUGUCCAAUUGAAGACCUCCUUGAUUCUGAUAUCAUGAUUUUGUGAGACACUAAGGAAAAACACUGCCAGUUAAGUUAUGACACAGGGCCUUGUGAUAGUGGUGCACGGUGGGUGAACCGGCCAUGCCGACCUUCCCCGGCUGGUCAUUGCUUUUAUUUCUUCUGAGGCAUUUGGUGAUUCCUCUGGCCUUUAGCUGUUCUUCUUGGCCUGUGCCAGGCAGUCCUUUUGUAUAGAGCUUAGUGAAAAACUGAGCAGUUUCCUCUCCCUGGGCACAUAGAGCCCCUGGUGGUUGCUUUAUAAGAAAAUUUGGAAGUGUGGUCAUUUCUGGCUUUAUGAAUAUAAAGGGGAAAACUGCCACUCUGUCUUUGCCUGUGUAAGUGAUAACUCCCAUUCCAUGAAGAAUCAUAGUGUAUGUAGGGGCAGGGGGCUGGUGAGGCAGGAGAACUGAGGUGGGGGGUAAAUGGAGAGGUAUCACAGAGGCAGCAUCUGUGACCGCCCCACCACGUAGGAGAACCUUCACCACUGAAUCAGGGAAGGGAAAGGAGGCCAGGGGUGCCUGGGUGGCUCAGUCAGUUAA